rnacentral:rRNA from 1 species
CUAAGUUUAAUGGCGACCGGCGCACGGGUGAGUAACACGUAUCCAACCUGCCGAUGACUCGGGGAUAGCCUUUCGAAAGAAAGAUUAAUACCCGAUGGCAUAGUUCUUCCGCAUGGUGGAACUAUUAAAGAAUUUCGGUCAUCGAUGGGGAUGCGUUCCAUUAGGUUGUUGGCGGGGUAACGGCCCACCAAGCCUUCGAUGGAUAGGGGUUCUGAGAGGAAGGUCCCCCACAUUGGAACUGAGACACGGUCCAAACUCCUACGGGAGGCAGCAUG